UUGAAGGAAGGAAUAUGUUUGCAAGCCAAUAUUUUUGAAUUGGGAAGGCUACUUACAUUAAGGAGAUGAAGAGAAGAUUGAAAUCAUGAUUGGUCCAUAACUUGAUUAUCAGAGGUCUUUGGGACCCACCCUUGUACACACAUAGGCUUUGGGCCGUGUACUAAGGUGAUUAGCCUUUGGGGCAGCUCUGCGUACGUAUGACCAGAUUAUCAGAUUUGAAUGGCUCUGCCUUGUACAUCGAGAUUACUUUGUACAUGAGCAAGACUAUUCAUUGGGUACCUUUUUGGUGUGAUUUUUCAGUAUUUCUACAGCUUAUCAUAUUUCAGAUUUUAGAAUUCGGUCUGUUUAGUUCUCUGACUAAAGCUUUCAGCUUAUAGUAUUGAUCAGCUGCAAUAUUUUAUA